rnacentral:rRNA from 1 species
AGAGCGAACGCUGGCGGCGUGCCUAACACAUGCAAGUCGAACGAGAAAGUGGAGCAAUCCAUGAGUACAGUGGCGUACGGGUGAGUAACACGUGACUAACCUACCCUCGAGUGGGGAAUAACCUCGGGAAACCGGGCUAAUACCGCAUAACAUCUUCGGAUCAAAUGCGUAAGCAGCUUGAGGAGGGGUCGCGGCCGAUUAGCUAGUUGGCGGGGUAAUGGCCCACCAAGGCAAUGAUCGGUA